UCAAUAUCGACUUCUUUCUUCUUUCUUGGUGUCAGAAUCCUAACCUUAUCUGGGGUGGUAAUGCUCUAGCUAAAAGACUGUAUUUCUGCUCUUUCCCAUCUUGCAAGAUGGCAGGUGAAAAAGUUGAGAAGCCAAAUACUAAAGAGAAGAAACCCAAAGCCAAGAAGACUGAUGCUGGUGGCAGGGUGAAAAAGGUAACCUCAAGGCUAAAACGCCCAAGAAGGGGAAACCCCAUUGCAGCCUCAAUCCUGUCAUUGUCAGAGGAAUUGGCAGGUAUUCCCGAUCUGCCCUGUAUUCCAGAAAGGCCACGUACAAGAGGAGGUACUCAGCCACUAAAUCCAAGGUUGAAAAGAAAAAGAAGGAGAAAGUUCUUUCAACUAUUACAAACCCAGUUGGUGGUGACAGGAACAACGGUACCCAGGUGGUUAAACUUCGCAAAAUGCCUAGAUAUUAUCCCGCUGAAGAUGAGCCUCCAAAGCUGUUGAGCCACAGCAACAAAGCCCUUCAGAAAGCACAUGAGAAAACUGUGAGCCACCAUUACCCCAGGACCAUUCUGAUCAUCCUCACUGGACGCCACCAGGGCAAGAGGGUGGUUUUCCUGAAGCAGCUGACUAGUGGCAUAUUACUUGUGACUGGACCUCUGGCCCUCAGUCGAGUUCCUCUAUGAAGAACACAUCAGAAAUUUGCCAUUGCCACCUCAACCAAAAUCGAUAUCCGCAAUGUAAAAAUCCCCAAACAUCUUACUGAUACUUACUUCAAGAAGAAGCUAUGGAAGCCCAGACACCAGGAAGGUGAGAUCUUUGACACAGAAAAAGAAAUAUGAGCUUAUAGAGCAGCAUAAGAUUGAUCAGAAAGUUGUGGAUUCACAGAUUUUACCAAAAGUCAAAGCUAUUCCUCAGCUCCAGGGCUACCUGCAAUCUAUGUUUGCCCUGAUGAAUGGAAUUUAUCCUCACAAAUUGGUGUUCUAAAUGUCUUAAGGACCUAAUUAAAUAGCUGACUACAAAAAAAAAAAAAAAAAAAAAAAAAAAAAA